GGUCCCGCCUGCCCUGUGACUAUAUGUUUAACGGCCGCGGUAUUUUGACCGUGCGAAGGUAGCGCAAUCACUUGUCUUUUAAAUGGGGACCUGUAUGAAUGGCAUAACGAGGGCUUAACUGUCUCCUCUUUCAAGUCAAUGAAAUUGAUCUCCCCGUGCAGAAGCGAGGAUAGAUACAUAAGACGAGAAGACCCUAUGGAGCUUUAGACACUAAAGCAGAUCAGUAUUAAUACCCUGAACAUAGACUACGAAUAAACUGACCCCUGCCCUAAUGUCUUUGGUUGGGGCGACCGCGGAGAAAAAUAAAACCCCCGCAAGGACUAAAUGUACUACAUUCACAAACAAGAGCGACAGCUCUAACUAACAGAACUUCUGACCAAUAAGAUCCGGCAAUGCCGAUCAAUGAACCGAGUUACCCUAGGGAUAACAGCGCAAUCUCCUCUUAGAGCCC
rnacentral:rRNA from 1 species